UACGUAGGGCGCAAGCGUUGUCCGGAAUUAUUGGGCGUAAAGAGCUCGUAGGCGGCUUGUCGCGUCGACUGUGAAAAACCCGCAGCUCAACUGUGGGCUUGCAGCUGAUACGGGCAGGCUUGAGUUCGGUAGGGGAGACUGGAAUUCCUGGUGUAACGGUGAAAUGCGUAGAUAUCUGGAGGAACACCGGUGGCGAAGGCGGCAUCCUGGACCGGCAUUGACGCUGAGGAGCGAAAGCCAGGGGAGCAAACGGG
rnacentral:rRNA from 1 species